AUGAGGUGUGGAUAGGGGAGAAAUUCCAAUCGAACCCGGAGAUAGCUGGUUCUCCUCGAAAUAGCUUUAGGGCUAGCCUCGGUGUGAGUCUUGCGGAGGUAGAGCACUGAAUUUCCUAGGGGGCGUCAAAGCCUACCGAAGAAUAUCAAACUCCGAAUGCCGUGUAGAUAUCACCGGGAGUCAGACUGCACGAGAUAAGUUGGGCGGUCAAAAGGGAAAGAGCCCAGACCUACAGUUAAGGUCCCAAAGUGCGCGUUAAGUGGAAAAGGAUGUGGGAUUUCGAAGACAACCAGGAUGUUGGCUCAGAAGCAGCCAUACAUUCAAAGAGUGCGUAAUAGCUCACUGGUCGAGAGGUCCUGCGCCGAAAAUGUCCGGGGCUGAAACGCGCCACCGAAACUAAGGAAUCUGAAAAGAUUGGUAGAGGAGCAUUGCAUGYGGGAAGAAGCAGUACCGGAAGGAGCUGUGGACUGCAUGGAAGAGAGAAUGCCGGAAUGAGUAGCGAGAUAGAGGUGGGAAUCCUCUAGGCCGAAUAUCCAAGGUUUCCAGGGUAAAGCUGAUCUGCCCUGGGUGAGUCGGGACCUAAGGUGAGGGCGAGAGCCGUAGCCGAUGGACAACAGGUUGAUAUUCCUGUACUGCAGUAUGACAGAACUGUGGGGACACGUAAGGAGAGCGGGAGCCGGGAAUGGAAAGCCCGGUACAAGCGAGGUACCAGUAUGGUAGGAAAAUCCGCCAUGCAAUGGGAAGACGUGAUGUGGAGUGAAUUUUAGUAACGAAGCCCGUGAGCCAUGCGUCAAGAAAAGCCGCUAUCGUUCAUAUUGUACCCGUACCGUAAACCGACACAGGUGGAUGAGGAGAGAAUCCUAAGGCCGGCGGAAGAAGUAUUGCCAAGGAACUCGGCAAAAUGGCCCCGUAACUUAGGGAGAAGGGGUGCCUGCGAGAGCAGGCCGCAGAGAAUAGGCUCAAGCAACUGUUUAGCAAAAACACAGGUCUAUGCGAAACCGAAAGGUGAGGUAUAUGGGCUGACGCCUGCCCGGUGCUGGAAGGUUAAGAGGAGAGGUUAGMSGUAASKCGAAGCUUUGAAUUUAAGCCCCAGUAAACGGCGGCCGUAACUAUAACGGUCCUAAGGUAGCGAAAUUCCUUGUCGGGUAAGUUCCGACCCGCACGAAAGGCGUAAUGAUUUGAGCGCUGUCUCGGCAAUACAUCCGGUGAAAUUGAAGUGCCAGUGAAGAUGCUGGCUACCCGCGCCAGGACGGAAAGACCCCAUGGAGCUUUACUCCAGUUUGGCACUGGGGGUCCGGUGUUGCAUGUACAGGAUAGGUGGGAGGCUGAGAAACGGUAACGUCAGUUGCCGCGGAGCCGCUGUUGGGAUACCACCCUUGUGAUAUGGGC
rnacentral:rRNA from 1 species